rnacentral:rRNA from 1 species
UACGUAGGGUGCAAGCGUUGUCCGGAAUUAUUGGGCGUAAAGAGCGUGUAGGCGGCCCGACAAGUCCGCUGUGAAAGUCCAGGGCUCAACCCUGGAAAGCCGGUGGAUACUGUCGGGCUAGAGUCCGGAAGGGGCGAGUGGAAUUCCUGGUGUAGCGGUGAAAUGCGCAGAUAUCAGGAGGAACACCAAUGGCGAAGGCAGCUCGCUGGGACGUUACUGACACUGAGGCGCGAAAGCGUGGGGAGCGAACAGG